UACGGAGGGUGCAAGCGUUAUCCGGAUUCACUGGGUUUAAAGGGUGCGUAGGCGGGCAGGUAAGUCAGUGGUGAAAUCUUCGAGCUUAACUCGGAAACUGCCGUUGAUACUAUCUGUCUUGAAUAUUGUGGAGGUGAGCGGAAUAUGUCAUGUAGCGGUGAAAUGCUUAGAUAUGACAUAGAACACCCAUUGCGAAGGCAGCUCACUACGCAAAAAUUGACGCUGAGGCACGAAAGCGUGGGGAUCAAACAGG
rnacentral:rRNA from 1 species